CCGUAAGAAUUUAAACGACCAGUCGCAAUCGUUACCUGAGAAUCUUAGGUCUUUAACUUAAGUAGAUAAAAAUGAAAAUCUUCGCUGGUUUUGUUGUGUGUUUAUUAAUCAUCUUCUUAUGGAUUGAAUCUGAUGCCUCCUGUUUUAAUACCCACGAUGGUAAGAGAUCGAGGAAGACCUUCAAGACUAACUAUAAGUUGACUGACCAAUGCGUGGAAUAUACAUGCAAUGCGAAUGGAGAGUGGUCGAUAAAAGGGUGUUAUGAGUGGGUAUGCAAACGACGGGUAAUCGGUUACGAAACCGCUAAUUUUUCAAAACCAUUUCCUUAUUGCUGCGGAUAUCCCAUUUGUGAUUGAAUUUAAUAAUUAUUUUUUAAUCUAAUGUUUAAAUUUUGAAUGUUUGAAUUUA